rnacentral:rRNA from 1 species
AUGAUAGUACCGAAUUUCCUUGGAAUGGAACAUACAAGCCGGAUCAUUGUCACCACCAGGGAAGAAAAUAUAGCUAAAGUUUGUUCACAGAGACAAGAAGAAAAUAUAUACAUGCUCAAAGAUCUAGAUCACACGGAUGCACGUGACCUCUUCAGUAAAAAGGUAUUCAAGAAGACUACUGAUUUGAAUUUGCAAUAUCCAGAGCUAGUUGAACAGACAGAACAGAUUCUGAGAAAGUGUGGUCGGCUCCCCCUUGCAAUAGUCACCAUAGGUGGCUUCUUGUCCAACCAACCAAAAACCUCUUUGGAACGGAGGAAAUUGAAUGAUAAUAUCAAUUCUGAGUUGGAGAUGAAUCCAGAGCUUGGGACCAUAAGAAAUGUCCUUAUGAGAAGCUAUGAUGGUUUGCCUUAUCAUCUCAAGUCAUGUUUCCUAUAUAUGCCCAUCUUUCCCGAAGAUUACAAGGUUGGACGGGGACGAUUGGCACGUUAA